GAUGAACGCUAGCGACAGGCUUAACACAUGCAAGUCGAGGGGCAGCGGGGAUGAAGCUUGCUUCAUCCGCCGGCGACCGGCGCACGGGUGAGUAACACGUAUGCAACCUGCCCCUGGCUGGGGGAUAAGCCGGAGAAAUCCGGUCUAAUACCGCGUAACAUCCUUGCGGGACAUCCCGCGGGGAUCAAAGGAAGCGAUUCCGGCCAGGGAUGGGCAUGCGGCGCAUUAGCUAGUCGGCGGGGUAACGGCCCACCGAGGCGACGAUGCGUAGGGGUUCUGAGAGGAAGGUCCCCCACACUGGUACUGAGACACGGACCAGACUCCUACGGGAGGCAGCAGUGAGGAAUAUUGGUCAAUGGGCGCGAGCCUGAACCAGCCAAGUCGCGUGAGGGAAGACGGUCCUAUGGAUUGUAAACCUCUUUUGCCGGGGAGCAAGCUGGGUCACGUGUGACGCAGCUGAGAGUACC
rnacentral:rRNA from 1 species